rnacentral:rRNA from 1 species
UAGUACGGCGAGUGAAGAGGGAAGAGCCCAAGAUUGAAAGCUGGCGUCUUCGGCGUCCGCAUUGUAAUCUCAAGAAGUGUUUUCCGCUUCGGACCAUGCCUAAGUCCCUUGGAAAAGGGCAUCAUAGAGGGUGAUAAUCCCGUACAUGGCAUGGAGCGCCCGAAGCUUUGUGAUACGCUUUCUAAGAGUCGAGUUGUUUGGGAAUGCAGCUCAAAAUGGGUGGUAAAUGCCAUCUAAGGCUAAAUAUUGGGGAGAGACCGAUAGCGAACAAGUACAGUGAUGGAAAGAUGAAAAGAACUUUGAAAAGAGAGUUAAACAGUACGUGAAAUUGCCAAAAGGGAAGGGUAGGAGGUCAGAGAUGCGGCCUGGGAUUCAGCCUUGCUUUUGCUUGGUGUUUUUCCCAGAUUGCAGGCCAACGUCGGUUUUGGGCACUGGAGAAGGAUAGGAGGAACGUGGCACCCCUCGGGGUGUGUUAUAGCCUCCUACUGGAUACAGCGACCGAGACCGAGGACAGCAGCGUACUCGCAAGAGCGGGCCUUCGGGCACCUUUACGCUUAGGGCGUUGGCAUAAUGGCCCUCUACCACCCGUCUUGA